AGUGAACGCUGGCGGUAGGCCUAACACAUGCAAGUCGAACGGCAGCACAGUAAGAGCUUGCUCUUACGGGUGGCGAGUGGCGGACGGGUGAGGAAUACAUCGGAAUCUACUUUUUCGUGGGGGAUAACGUAGGGAAACUUACGCUAAUACCGCAUACGACCUACGGGUGAAAGCAGGGGAUCUUCGGACCUUGCGCGACUGAAUGAGCCGAUGUCGGAUUAGCUAGUUGGCGGGGUAAAGGCCCACCAAGGCGACGAUCCGUAGCUGGUCUGAGAGGAUGAUCAGCGACACUGGAACUGAGACACGGUCCAGACUCCUACGGGAGGCAGCAGUGGGGAAUAUUGGACAAUGGGCGCAAGCCUGAUCCAGCCAUACCGCGUGGGUGAAGAAGGCCUUCGGGUUGUAAAGCCCUUUUGUUGGGAAAGAAAAGCAGCAGGUUAAUACCCCGCUGUUCUGACGGUACCCAAAGAAUAAGCACCGGCUAACUUCGUG
rnacentral:rRNA from 1 species